rnacentral:rRNA from 1 species
GACGAACGCUGGCGGCGUGCUUAACACAUGCAAGUCGAACGGAAAGGCCUCUUUCGGGGGGUACUCGAGUGGCGAACGGGUGAGUAACACGUGAGUAACCUGCCCUUGACUUUGGGAUAACUUCAGGAAACUGGGGCUAAUACCGGAUAGGAGCUCCUGCUGCAUGGUGGGGGUUGGAAAGUUUCGGCGGUUGGGGAUGGACUCGCGGCUUAUCAGCUUGUUGGUGGGGUAGUGGCUUACCAAGGCUUUGACGGGUAGCCGGCCUGAGAGGGUGAACGGCCACAUUGGGACUGAGAUACGGCCCAGACUCCUACGGGAGGCAGCAGUGGGGAAUAUUGCACAAUGGGUGGAAGCCUGAUGCAGCAACGCCGGGUGCGGGAUGACGGCCUUCGGGUUGUAAACCGCUUUCGCUCAUGACGAAGCUUUGUGUGACGGUAGUGGGUAAAGAAGCACCGGCUAACUACGUG